rnacentral:tRNA from 1 species
GCCGGGGUAGCCUAGCUUGGUUUGGGCGCCAGACUCAUAAUCUGGAGGUCGCGGGUUCGAAUCCAGCCCCCGGCACCA